UUCUGAGAAAACUCUUCUGGCUACUAUUAUCAUCUUUAUGCUAGUUUUAUCUCCGGCUGUGCCCAGCAACGCCGCCGGACUGACUCGUCGAGGUAUAUUAGUACUACUCCUUCCGUCUCAUUUUAUGUUGCACACUUUCUAUUUUUGUUUAUCCCAAAAAGAAUGAAAUCUUCUUCUAUAUUUAGAAAUAAUUUAAUUUUAAAAUUUUUAUUUUAUCCUUAGUAAAAUAAUUUAUAGUUAUACAAACGUUUAUGACUUGUUAUAGGCCAUAAAUUUCAAAAGAAAUUUUUUCUUUCUUAAAUUCUAUGCUCAAUCAAACAAUAUCACAUCAAUUGGAACGAAUGGAGUAUUGGACAACGUUAAUUUACAAUCAUAAACAACUGACGAUAUGAUCAUAAUUGUUGCAGAGCUUGGUUUUAAGGAACCACCAUGUAACAAUUGCAACUGUUGCCAACCAAAUACACCGUCCUGUUGUGUUUGCGCUUGCGCCGUUCCGUUUGCCGCCGCCGUCGACCGGCCAUGAUAUAUGGACUUAAAGCAAGAUGCAGAGAAGAGACGAGUUGUGUGAUGAUUUCUACAUAAGAAUGAAAUAAGAAAACAAUUUGCUCGUGCAAUUAAUGCUUUUGGCAAUAUGUUUUGGGUGAUUUGAAUUUUAUGUGUGUGAAUAAUAUUGCUCCUAUUUUGUUUUGGGCUUCCU
rnacentral:lncRNA from 1 species